UCUAGAUGAUGUUUACUAUAUUUGCUACUUCAGACGGGGCUCGCCAGCUUCGAAUGAGACACAUUUUUUAUCACCAAGAUCUCUGAUAUA
rnacentral:snoRNA from 1 species